GGGGAAACAGGACCCGGCAGCAGGAAAACAGGUUUCCUUUCCCGGGCGCCCGGGCUGGCGGCACAAGCAGUUGGGGGCGGGGCGGGGGAUGCCAGUUGCUCUUGUUUGUCUUGAAACAAAGGGAGAGAGGAGGAAGAUGGGGGUUCUGUUGUGUUUUUUGCUCUUCCUACAAUUAUAAGUGAAAUGCAUCCUGCAGUGGGGCCGGGUGGGGCCCCACGUCCACCAUCGUGGGACAAAUCGGAAGGGCCACCUUACAAGCAGUGGCUACUGAGAACCGGGGUCUGGUAGGUAUUCUGGAACCCACACCUCGCUCCUGAGCAGCCUGUGAGCUAGAAGUUGCUUUCAGGGAACCCUGGAGUGAGCAACCAGAUCAAGGUCUUCUGUCCUCUAUAAACAAGGGCUCAGGGCAGGGGCAGGGCUCCUGGAGCCCCGGGGGGGGGGGGCACAACCACCACCUUCACCCACCCGUGUCCCCAGCAUUUUCCCCCAAGACCAAGGAGGAAGAGUUUCCACUCCUCUGUGGUACUGGGGAGAUGGAUCACUAGCGGGCAGCUUCCUCCAGGGUUUAGAUCUGGUUCCAGCAAUCUGGAGCAAGGAGACGGAAGAGUCUGGGGUUUGGAAGCCAGACCUCUACAGGGCGAACCAGACACUUUCAAGAUUAAACCUUAACGGGAAAAGGAAGAAAAAUCAGAUAAUAUCCUUUCUGCCGUCCCUGAAUACCGUGAGGAGUUCAAAGGUUCCCCAAGCCUGGGGCACUUGGCAAUUAUAAUUACACAGUAAAAUCCCUAAGGUUAAUGAAUAACCUCUAAAGGAAGUUGCUUCACAUAAUGACGGCAAUUUCUCUGAACUAAAUGUUAAUAAUAAGGCCGGUAAUACUAUGAGAAGGAAAUGGUGGCAAUUGGCAAAGGGAACUCUGUUGCUUGGUAACAACCUGAGGUAUGAGCACUCUCCUUACCUGCAGGAAAGGGGUGGGUAGAGACCCAAUCCAGCUGCCGAGUUUGAAACCAUGGCAGCUGGUGCGCCACAGCUGACCAGCAGCCCUGAGUGGAAGCACAGGGGGCAGGUCAUUUUAUUAGAGAGGACAUUAGGAGGGGGAGAACCCCUGAGAAUUACCUAGCAGCUGCAGUGAAGGAAAUGGGUGUCAUCUGUAAAGAGUGGUGGGCAGCAGCGUUCACAUCAGCUGGUGCAAAUCACUGCUCAACAGAACAUUUCAGCAAAUCCCUCCAACAGCUAAAUCUUCUCCCCUGCCCCCUCACUUCUGUUUGCUCCAGCGGGGACAUACACUUUGAACCUCCUGUUUGUUUGCUCUGUUUAAGAGCAACUAUGGAAGUUGAGAGGUGAAUUAGGAAAGGAAUGCAAUUAAGACAACCUAACUGCAGUGUUCCUUGCAGGGGACAAGGUGAUGCAUUUGAACUGUAGCCUCUAUUUAGUCAGGUAAUUAUUGCCAGUCUGGAUUGCAAGAGCCCAGAGACAACUUCUUCCAGCUGGUCAUUAAUCAAUAGGAAAUAGCCUACAACAAGGUCUUUAUUACCUUAAACCACUACAGGAGCAUGUUCUGUGAGGGGCCAAGAUAAGGCUGGGAGUUUAAAUCCCUGCUUGUUUUAUGGCAGAGGUCCCCAGAUCUGCCAGAGUAUCUAUAUCACUUUGAUGGCCUUUUGAAAAAUGCAGAUUCCUGGAACCACUCCUGAGCCUUGGUGCAGUGGAUCUAGAUCAGUAUCUGGGAAUCUGCCUUUCAAAUCUCCAUGAUCAUCAGCGCACUGGGGAAACCACUGCUCUAAGGUAUGUGAGCAGAAAUUUAGGGUUCAACCAAAGAGAAAUGGAGUAAGUAAUUUUUUACAUUGAGAAUUUAACACGUUUUCUUUUUUUUUCUCUAAAAGAAAUUGAUCUACACAUUUAAAAAAAGAAAAGAAAAAUGUACUCUAAAGACAUUAUUUUCUUGUGAUAUUUAUUUGUUUGUUUGUUUGUUUAUUUUUGCUGUACUGAGGAUUGGACCCAGGACCUCACACAUGCAAGGAAGCACUCUACCACUGAGCCCCAGCCUCAGCCCUAUGUUUCAUUUUUUAAUUUAACGUUUUUAAACUAAACGUGACAGGCACCGUGGUACAUGCCUACACUCUUAGCUACUCCGGAGUCUAAGACAGGAGGAUCAGAAGUUGGAGGCCAACCUGGGCAACUUAGCAAGAUCCCAUCUCAAACUAAAAUAAAAAAUACAGCUCAGUGGUAGAGCCACCUAGGUUCAAUCCUUAGUACUGUAAAAAAAAAACAAUGUAAACCAAAAAUAAUUGAGUUUCUGAACAUACCAUCAUUUAAUUAGAGGCUAUUCGCUGUAAAUUUAGCAUCUUUCUAAAUAGUCCAAUAAAACCAUCUGCCGUGAGCACCUUGGAAGGCUUGCCUAUGCAAAACCACAAACUGAGCCAAGUUUGUCCUCAAUCUUGACAUUUUGUCUUGGGGUUUUUUUGUUUUGCUUUGUUUUUUGUGGUGCUGGGGAUUGAACCCAGGGGUGCUUUACCGCUGAACCCCCUCCCCAGCCCUAUUCAUUUUUUAUUCUGAGGCAGGGUCCCAGGACGUGGCCCAGGCUGUCCAUGAACUUGCAAUCCUCCUACCCCUGCCUCCCGUGAGUCCUCAGGCAUGUGCCACUGCCCAGGCUCACCUGGCUCCUCAGAUUAUGAGACUGACAGUUGCCCACCGAGGCAAGAGGGUGACAGGCUCACCUGGUUCUUUAGAAGCCAGAAGCAGGUCCUCCUGGCCCCAAAUCCUAACUGAAUGUCUUUCUAAAGAGGUCACAGUACUUAACGUCCAUGCUGCGGGACUAGGAGGAACUUCUACCAUAGUACUGAUAACUCUCUUGACAUUUAGAAUGACCGUCCCAACCCCAGUCCUGCCCCCAAAGACACAAGACACCCUGAAGAUCACACUUUGGAACCAACCCACCUUAGCUGCAAUCACCCAGCAGCUGGGAGCUGAGCGAGGACUGACCCUUGUGCCUCGGCUUGAACGUGAGCCUGACAGAAAGUGACUGGCAGGCAGAGGGAAGCUGUCCCUCCCUGGGGCACUCCCUACCCCGCAGGGGCCCCCAUGCUCUCCCAGGGCACGUGUGGGACUCCGGUGACUCUCCACCAUGCGUUGGGGCUGCGUUGACUCAUCUGCCUCCUGUGGCUAAAGCUCACCGAGGGCAGGAAGCGGGUUUACCCCACCUCACUCUCCAGGCUGGGAGGGUGCCCGGUGCAUCCGCGGUGCAGCACUGGGGACUGAUGAGCGGGUGAAGGCUGUCAGAGGACACCGGAGCUGGAAGGCAGUUCCACUGGUGAAGCAGAUUCUAUUCAGGACUAUUGCAGUAGAGGGGAAGAGAACUCAGUGCAAACUAGACUCGGCCCUGAACUCCGCAAGGGCCAGUGGGAAUCUCUAGGCAGAGGCACCUCGAUGGGGGACGGGCUGCAGAACACUUCCUAGAGGAGUGCCAGGGCCAGAGGGUUCUGACUGACCGGACUGGCCAGGCCAGCGUGGUCAGACACCCCCUGAGGGGGGUGGGGUCCUGCUGCAGUGGCUCAGCUCCGUCCUUGCUCACGCUGGAUCCUGUGAGCUCUGGUUUCAGUGUGUUCCCCCAGAUCCUCCGCCCAGGGCGUUUGGAGGCAGAGCCUCUGGGGGUGGUGAGGGUAGAGGCACCAGAGCUGGCCACUCGCCCUGCGCCAUGCCAUGUCCUCUGCCAGCAAUGACGCAGCAAGACCAUCCCCGGGGCUGUUAGACUUCCCAGAUCUGGGAGCCACCUGGCCUUCCACCGUGGCCAGACCCGGCCCUGGAAGCUCAUCCCACAGAAAACCAACGUCCAGGAGAUGAGUGCUGGACAGAGAGGCUGGACUCAGUGGCCAAAGAAAGAAGUGGGAGCCCAUGCUCCGAGGUCACUUCUCGCCUCCAGGGGUGGAGGGACACGACACAGGUGGGAACAUGAGGAAGAGAAGAGAAGCACAGGAGGCACGUUCAGUCUCUGCUCUGCCAGGAGCUCUUCCCAUGGCCGGGCUUUCCAGUCAUGGCGGCAAGUAGGCUAAAGCCUCCAAGGGGAGAGAGAGGGAGAAACCAGCAAGUCUAGACCAAGUUAACCCCUUGCUAUAGUUUGGGAUGAAGCCCUUCUCAAAUGAUCAACCUAGUGGAGCUGCAGGUGUUAUUUAGAUUUUUCCUUGGUAACACUGUACUUUUAUAAAUUACCCAGCCUCAGGCAUUUUGUUAUACUAAGAAAAAACAGAGUAAUAAAAUAAGGAAGUGCACAGAUGGGCCUCACUAAAGUUUGGUCAAGCAAAGAAUCUUUGUCAAGAUCUCUGCUGCAAAUGGCUUCUUUCUCCAUGUUAACCAUUAUCUUAAAUAUUUUUUUUUGAAUUGGUAGAGCCGGCGAUCCUUUUCAGAUUAGAAGUUCCAGGGCACUUGAGAGUGUGCGCAAAGGAGAGGGACAUAAAAGUCAGAUGGGGCCACGAGGGAGAACUCUCCACAACACUCGAGUCUGUUCACACCUGUACCCACAGGGGUCCCAGUUCCUUCCCACCCAGAGGACAGGUGGGUGGCGACUGUGUUGAAGUAAAUCUGUCCCACAACGGCCACUAGGCUAUUAAAGUCGGUGUGCGCCCUUGGAGCCUAGGAAGGACAUGGCCACUUCUUGGUGUAUUACUUACCUUGAGGAGAAUGGCAAAUCUAGGGGCAUCUGGUGCCGACCUGUAGCAGAACCACAAGAGAGUGAGUGAGCCAGGUCAAGGUCAAGAUCAGAGAGCCAAUCCCCGGGUUUCCUAUUCAGUCACUUACCGCGAGGAUGACUGUAGGCUGGCAGCCUAAGCAUCAAUUUCUCGUUUGUGAAAUAGUAACAGUAGCCCUCGCGCCUUCUUACAGGACAGUGGAGAACCACAGCCAGGAGCACACAGCAGCUGGCACGGGGCACGUGGCCAUAGGUGCCAGCUCCUCGUGAGCUUAGUGACUGAUGUCCGUGACACGGGCUGGAAGGAUCUAGCAUCCUUUGGAGUGCCUCUGGCCCCAACAGCAAAAGAGAGGGACAUAAUGGCCCCUGGGGUCUGCUAGGAACAAGCCUGCUGGCUCUGUCCUCCUCGGUGCCCCUGGGACUGUCUGCUUUGCUACAUGUCGAGCCUUCACAUCACAAGAUGAAGGAGAGGUUCAAAUACUUUACAGCUAAUUUAACCAACAAACAUGGUUAAACCACAGAAUUCAAAUUGCAUCUCGUUUUGACCAAAUAUGCCCAAAACUACAAAAGUUCUGUUUGUGAACACCAGGGACAUGGUGCUGAGAAAUCUUAUUCUUUAAAAUCAUGGCCCUGGAGAAAGCUGGCUCUUUGGAGCCCUAUCAGGGACUUCAAGACAAAAAUGGGACAGCUUUACGCUGAGUAGUUUCAAAGAAUUCAGCUUUGGUCCAAGGGCCAAUCAGCAUUAUUCCCUGCGUCUAUUAGGACUAAUAAAAAGGCUUUCUCUUUUCUUUCAGAACUAAUGGAAACCCUCUGUUCUCACUCAGAAAUGCACGAAGUCCCGGUGCAAGAACACUUCAGGGAGACUGAGUCCCAGUGCCCCGUUCAGCAGGAACAGAUUCUGCCUUUUUCCCUCAGCGUGGACAGUCUCAUGAUCUGAACAGCAGAACCGGAGCGUCGGACCCUCCGUGAACAAAGCCCUGCUCUUCUGGACCUUCCCUUAGCUGACGAUGGCAUUGCCACCCAAGGAACCAGGUUCUCCUGGAGACCUUCGGCCACCACGCGGUCCUGUGUGCUCCUGCACCGCCCACGUGGCCACUGCUUAGAUAAAGUGAGCACUGCGGUGACAACAGGGAUGCACCCUAGGCCACCUGUACGUCCUGGUACCAGCUUGGCCUGCAAGGACACAGGUGAGGAUGCUCGUGCCCCCUCCCACUCCAUUUCAGGUUCACCUCCAGUCCUCGUGCCCCCUGGUGGGUGGGGACAGAUGCACGACUUCAGGUCCAGUGCUGACUGGGGCUCUGCCCUCCGGCCAUCCAAGUCAAACCCCUUGGCGUUUCUGAACUCCACUCAUCUGCCUUCCGGGGGCUCAGAAGCCCAGACCUGCCACCGCGACCUGCCCCACUCCACAGCCCCCUGCCCUCCCCAGCCCACCCUGUUCUGCCGGGCUCUGCCUCUCGCCUGCACCCCCCAGAUCCCUGUCCCCCAAAUCUUACCUAAGGCUUUCAUCCUGUUUUCCCUAACUUUUGGGAAUCACCUCUAUAAAGCCCUAUGUCUCUCCCAAGUACCAAAAUCAGCAGAAACACGUCUCAAACCGACCGCAUCUGUUACUCAUCAAGGAUGAGCUAAUUCUCCAUAUCCUCAUGAUUUUGGAGCAAAGCCAGUUCACUGCUUUCCAGAUUGCCAGUGGGGGUUCUGCGAGGUCCCCCGUGUGUCCCAGAGCAGACCUUGUCUCCUAGCAAUCUGAGCUGGUAAAUUAAUUCACAAGCUCCAGUCCCGGAGCCCACAAGGUAGAGAAAAGGGUUUUUCCCUCCUCCACUCGUGGCUUGAGCGUGCUGCACGCGUGUAUGUUCAACAAAUGAUGUUUGAAAAGAUAAAACCAUUUCGUUUAGAAAAUC
rnacentral:lncRNA from 1 species